ACGUUAGCGGCGGACGGGUGAGUAACACGUGGGUAACCUACCUAUAAGACUGGGAUAACUUCGGGAAACCGGAGCUAAUACCGGAUAAUAUUUCGAACCGCAUGGUUCGAUAGUGAAAGGUGGUUUUGCUAUCACUUAUAGAUGGACCCGCGCCGUAUUAGCUAGUUGGUAAGGUAACGGCUUACCAAGGCGACGAUACGUAGCCGACCUGAGAGGGUGAUCGGCCACACUGGAACUGAGACACGGUCCAGACUCCUACGGAGGCAGCAGCG
rnacentral:rRNA from 1 species